UCCGGUUGAUCCUGCCAGAGGCCGCUGCUAUCCGGCUGGGACUAAGCCAUGCUAGUCUAGGGGCUUGUACUCCUUCGGGGGUGCAAGCACCGGCGGACGGCUCAGUAACACGUGGACAACCUGCCCUCGGGUGGGGGAUAACCCCGGGAAACUGGGGCUAAUCCCCCAUAGGUGAUGGGUGCUGGAAUGCCCCAUCUCCGAAAGCGCUUAGCGCCCGAGGAUGGGUCUGCGGCGGAUUAGGUAGUUGGUGGGGUAACGGCCCACCAAGCCUAAGAUCCGUACGGGCUGUGGGAGCAGGAGCCCGGAGAUGGACCCUGAGACAAGGGUCCAGGCCCUACGGGGCGCAGCAGGCGCGAAACCUCCGCAAUGCGGGAAACCGCGACGGGGUUAGCCGGAGUGCCCGUGCAUUGCACGGGCUGUCGGGGUGCCUAAACAGCACCCCAUAGCAAGGGCCGGGCAAGGCCGGUGGCAGCCGCCGCGGUAAGACCGGCGGCCCGAGUGGCGGCCACUCUUAUUGGGCCUAAAGCGUCCGUAGCCGGCCCAGUAAGUCCCCCGGGAAAUCUGGUCGCUUAACGAUCAGACUUCCGGGG
rnacentral:rRNA from 1 species